CCUACGGGAGGCAGCAGUGAGGAAUAUUGGUCAAUGGCCGAGAGGCUGAACCAGCCAAGUCGCGUGAGGGAAGACGGCCCUACGGGUUGUAAACCUCUUUUGUCGGGGAGCAAAGCGAGUCACGUGUGACUCAUUGAGAGUACCCGAAGAAAAAGCAUCGGCUAACUCCGUGCCAGCAGCCGCGGUAAUACGGAGGAUUCAAGCGUUAUCCGGAUUUAUUGGGUUUAAAGGGUGCGUAGGCGGUCGGAUAAGUUAGAGGUGAAAUCCCGAGGCUCAACUUCGGAAUUGCCUCUGAUACUGUUCGGCUAGAGAGUAGUUGCGGUAGGCGGAAUGUAUGGUGUAGCGGUGAAAUGCUUAGAGAUCAUACAGAACACCGAUUGCGAAGGCAGCAUACCGGCGCUCAACUGACGCUCAUGCACGAAAGUGUGGGUAUCGAACAGGAUUAGAUACCCUUGUAGUC
rnacentral:rRNA from 1 species